CAAAGCAGAAGAACGAAGAAGAGACAUGGCGACGACGGGUAAGAAGAAGUACGCUUGCAAGGUGUCACACAGCUUCGGAAAAAUUGCUGUGGGACUAUUCCCAACGUCUGCUCACCGUUUAAUGGCGGACAGUCCAUUCCUCUCUUUUUCAUCAAGCGGCGGAUGGUCUGCAGUUGGGACAUGAUCUCGUUCUUUUGCUCCUGGGCCACAUUCUUUGCACUGAAAGACAACGGCCAUGUAUUUAUCAAAUACAACACCUGUACUGAAGUCAAUUAUUGCAGCCUCAUUUACUUGUAUCAACAUCAUAUCUGCGUAUGUGCAUGUUUGUGCCCCCCAUGCCUCCUCAAAGAAGUCCAACUCGUGUCAACACGGGAUUGUGUCAGUGCACAAACAUGGAUGACAAGUCACUCACCAGUUGGUGAGCGGGUCCAACUGGGUGAGAAUGGAAUUGAGCAUUCGCUCUGUUUGGGCAAGCCUUUGUUCCAGUUCAUUCAACUGGUUUUCUGCAGGAAAGUAAACAGACAUUCAUUUACUCCAAGCAAACAAAUGUGUGAUUGAAACAAGUAUUGAAAUAGAAAUCCAAGUGCAUGCAAAACACACCUGCUUCUACAGACUUUUUGGCCCCUUUUGCAAAUUUGUCCUUUUGUGCCUGGUCAUCUGAAGACUUGAUCUGCAAUUAAAAAUAUUUCAACAUG